CAUGAGUUGACAGGUGCAUUUUUGAGGGGCAGUAUUGGAUCAGGCACAUUUCCCUUCACAAAAGACUUGACUACAUCACCCAGAUUCCUCCAGUUAUCCAGAACAGAUCAAUGUAUAUCUGCUUCAUGUUGAAAUCUAAAACCAUCUCCACUGCCAAUUAGGCAAGUUGUAGCAACUAGGUCAAGAGAAGGGAAUAAGAAUCACUGCAAAGAGCUGAUGGACAGCAACAAGUACAGACGAACUCGUUGGUGAUGAGAAAUUUAAAUGAAAAGGCUUUGGGAUCCUGAAAGAGAGAGAAGAAUGUUCAGCACGUGCCCUGUUGAAAAUUAUUUCAACAAAAGUCAGCUAAAGCUAACAUUUUUCACAAAUUUCUUUCUACUGCCGUUUGAUUCCUCAAAACCUCAGAGCAAAAUAUUCAAAUGCUGUUCCAAAAAUGUAGCCACCUUAA